GAUGAACGCUGGCGGCGUGCCUAAUACAUGCAAGUCGAGCGAACAGACGAGGAGCUUGCUCCUCUGACGUUAGCGGCGGACGGGUGAGUAACACGUGGAUAACCUAUCUAUAAGACUGGGAUAACUUCGGGAAACCGGAGCUAAUACCGGAUAAUAUAUUGAACCGCAUGGUUCAAUAGUGAAAGACGGUUUUGCUGUUACUUAUAGAUGGAUCCGCGCCGCAUUAGCUAGUUGGUAAGGUAACGGCUUACCAAGGCAACGAUGCGUAGCCGACCUGAGAGGGUGAUCGGCCACACUGGAACUGAGACACGGUCCAGACUCCUACGGGAGGCAGCAGUAGGGAAUCUUCCGCAAUGGGCGAAAGCCUGACGGAGCAACGCCGCGUGAGUGAUGAAGGUCUUCGGAUCGUAAAACUCUGUUAUUAGGGAAGAACAAAUGUGUAAGUAACUAUGCACGUCUUGACGGUACCUAAUCAGAAAGCCACGGCUAACUACGUG
rnacentral:rRNA from 1 species